rnacentral:rRNA from 1 species
UACGGAGGGGGCUAGCGUUAUUCGGAAUUACUGGGCGUAAAGCGCACGUAGGCGGAUUGGAAAGUCAGAGGUGAAAUCCCAGAGCUCAACCCCGGAACUGCCUUUGAAACUGCCAGUCUUGAGGUCGGGAGAGGUGAGUGGAAUUCCGAGUGUAGAGGUGAAAUUCGUAGAUAUUCGGAGGAACACCAGUGGCGAAGGCGGCUCACUGGCUCGGUACUGACGCUGAGGUGCGAAAGCGUGGGGAGCAAACAGG